UACACACAGCAACACAGAGAUACACACAGCAACACAGAGAUACACACAGCAACACAGAGAUACACACAGCAACACAGAGUUACACACAGCAACACAGAGAUACACACAGCAACACAGAGAUACACAUGGAAUAAAACAAACAUACAGUCAAUAAUACAGAAGAAAAAAAGAAAACAAAAAGUCUAUAUCCAGUGAGUGCAAAUGAUGUAAGAUAAGGGAGUUAAGGCAAUAAAUAGGCCAUGGUGGAGAAGUAAUUACAAUGUAGCAAUUAAACACUGGAAUGGUAGAUGUGCAGAAGAUGAAUGUGCAAGUAGAGAUACUGGGGUGCAAAGGAGCUAGAUAAAUAAAUACAGUAUGGGGAUGAGGUAGGUACAUAGCCCAUCUAUCUACAGGUGCAGUGAUCUGUGAGCUACUCUGACAGCUGGUGCUUAAAGUUAGUGAAGGAGAUAUCAGUCUCCAGCUUCAGUGAUUUUUGCAGUUCGUUCCAGUCAUUGGCAGCAGAGAACUGGAAGGAAAGACUACCAAAUGAGGAAUUGGCUUUGGUGGGUGAUCAGUAGGGCAAAAAAGUAUUUAGUCAGCCACCAAAUGUGCAAGUUCUCCCACUUAAAAAGAUGAGAGGCCUGUAAUUUUCAUCAUAGGUACACUUCAAAAAACAGCUCUACAGACUUCACUGUCAUGGUGCCCAGUCAGUACACAACACUAUGCUCAUUGUGUCUUAGCAGGGUCAGAUGGUGACAGAGGUCUCAGCAGGGUCAGAUGGUGACAGAGGUCUCAGCAGGGUCAGAUGGUGACAGAGGUCUCAGCAGGAUCAGAUGGUGACAGAGGUCUCAGCAGGGUCAGAUGGUGACAGAGGUCUCAGCAGGGUCAGAUGGUGACAGGGGUCUCAGCAGGGUCAGAUGGUGACAGAGGUCUCAGCAGGGUCAGAUGGUGACAGAGGUCUCAGCAGGGUCAGAUGGUGACAGAGGUCUCAGCAGGGUCAGAUGGUGACAGGGGUCUCAGCAGGGUCAGAUGGUGACAGAGGUCUCAGCAGGGUCAGAUGGUGACAGAGGUCUCAGCAGGGUCAGAUGGUGACAGAGGUCUCAGCAGGGUCAGAUGGUGACAGAGGUCUCAGCAGGGUCAGAUGGUGACAGAGGUCUCAGCAGGGUCAGAUGGUGACAGAGGUCUCAGCAGGGUCAGAUGGUGACAGAGGUCUCAGCAGGGUCAGAUGGUGACAGAGGUCUCAGCAGGGUCAGAUGGUGACAGAGGUCUCAGCAGGGUCAGGCAACCAGGGAAGACCAGUCUGUGACGGAGAGGAGGUGAAUAUUUGCAGAUACAACACUUUAUUCUCUCUGUGCAGCAAACACUGGACAAGCCAGAUGCUUCAAAGAUUGAAACUAUUUUAAGGGAGUCUGACAAACCUCAAGUUUAUUUCUAAACUGUAUCAAGGGUUAAUGGAGGCUUUUCCUGAUGACACAAAACAUGUAAAACAAUAGUUGGAUAAGACCUGGGAGAUUGAUGAUGAUGAUGAUGAAUAGAUACAGCUAUGUUUGAAUGCCCAGUCAUGUUCAUAUCAUCUCAGACAUAAAUGACUGCAGUUUGAGACCAUCGAUAGAGCAUUGUAUAUGCCAGUGAAACUGAAUAUCAUGCCCUCAGAAAUUAAAUUAUUUAUCUGGCGGUGUCAAGCAAAAAUGGGACAUAUUUGUUAAGGUCUUUGUGAAGGUUGACUGAAUUCUGGCAAAGAUUGUUAUUUUUUAUCUCAGCAUGUCUACAGAUUCUCCCUGUUUUUUGUUUGCUAUGGAAAUGUUGAUUACGAGAGACUUAUCUGAAGAAAGUGUGUAACGUAGCGUUUUUUAAAGCGGCUAAGAAAUGCAUUGCCAUUUAAUUGUAAGGUUGUAUGUCUUCUCACAAUGGAUGGAAGAAAGGUCCAGUUUACACUCCCGGUCAAAAGUUUGGAUACAGCACA